GAUGAACGCUGGCGGCGUGCCUAAUACAUGCAAGUCGAGCGAACGGACGAGAAUCUUGCUUCUCUGAUGUUAGCGGCGGACGGGUGAGUAACACGUGGAUAACCUACCUAUAAGACUGGGAUAACUUCGGGAAACCGGAGCUAAUACCGGAUAAUAUUUUGAACCGCAUGGUUCAAAAGUGAAAGACUGUCUUGCUGUCACUUAUAGAUGGAUCCGCGCUGCAUUAGCUAGUUGGUAAGGUAACGGCUUACCAAGGCAACGAUGCAUAGCCGACCUGAGAGGGUGAUCGGCCACACUGGAACUGAGACACGGUCCAGACUCCUAAGGGAGGCAGCAGUAGGGAAUCUUCCGCAAUGGGCGAAAGCCUGACGGAGCAACGCCGCGUGAGUGAUGAAGGUCUUCGGAUCGUAAAACUCUGUUAUUAGGGAAGAACAUAUGUGUAAGUAACUGUGCACAUCUUGACGGUACCUAAUCAGAAAGCCACGGCUAACUACGUG
rnacentral:rRNA from 1 species